rnacentral:rRNA from 1 species
UACGGAGGGUGCAAGCGUUAAUCGGAAUCACUAGGCGUAAAGCGCAGGUAGGAGGUUUGGUAAGUCUAUUGUGAAAGCUCCCGGCUUAACUGGGAGAGGUCAAUGGAAACUACCAGGCUAGAGUGCGGUAGAGGUAGCUGGAAUUCCCGGUGUAGCGGUGAAAUGCGUAGAUAUCGGGAGGAAUACCUAUGGCGAAGGCGGCUGCCUGGCCUGUUCUUGACGCUGAGGCGCGAAGGCUAGGGGAGCGAACGGG